UCAUUUGACAAUUAAGCAUAAUAUAAUUUAGUUGUGUCUUCGCCAUAUUUUUUUUUAUAAGCAAUUUUAACAUCAUGUUAAAUAAUCUGCGUAAAUUGUUUUUUAUUUUAGCUUUUAUAAUGGUUUCCCUCGAUUUUUGCACAGCUGAAUGUCACGGUGACAAUAACGCGACAAGCGGCUGCAGCAACUACUGUGGCCAUGAAUGCUUUCAAUCAGGACCCAGGGCGUGCCCAGAUUUCUGCAUGGUUGACGGCUGUGCAUGUCUAUCGGGUUACCAGUAUGAUACUGUAAUAAGAAAGUGCGUGCUGCCAGUAGAUUGCACUAAAAAUAUCUAAGUUACAGUUUAUCCGCUAAGGAAACAAAGGUACAAUGUUAUACAGCCUUAUCUUCUGUAGUACACUAUUAUUGCAUAAUUAUAGUCUAUGAUUGUACAACAUUACGAAAAUACUAUGAAAUAAAAUAAAACUUUUUUUAA